GGGGAAUCUUGCGCAAUGGGCGAAAGCCUGACGCAGCAACGCCGCGUGCGGGAUGACGGCCUUCGUGGUUGUAAACCGCUUUCAGCAGGGACGAAACUGACGGUACCUGCAGAAGAAGCCCCGGCUAACUACGUGCCAGCAGCCGCGGUAAUACGUAGGGGGCAAGCGUUGUCCGGAUUCAUUGGGCGUAAAGAGCUCGUAGGCGGUUCAGUAAGUCAGGUGUUAAAGCUCCGAGCUCAACUCGGAGAGGCCAUCUGAUACUGCUGUGACCAGAAUCCAGUAGGGGAGCGUGGAAUUCCUGGUGUAGCGGUGAAAUGCGCAGAUAUCAGGAGGAACACCAGCGGCGAAGGCGGCGCUCUGGGCUGAGAUUGACGCUGAGGAGCGAAAGUGUGGGUAGCAAAC
rnacentral:rRNA from 1 species